rnacentral:rRNA from 1 species
UACAGAGGGUGCGAGCGUUGUCCGGAAUCACUGGGCGUAAAGGGCGCGUAGGCGGCGCGGUAAGCGUGCGGUGAAAGCCCGGGGCUCAACCCCGGGUCGGCCGUGCGGACUGCCGGGCUGGAGCACUGUAGAGGCAGGUGGAAUUCCGGGUGUAGCGGUGGAAUGCGUAGAGAUCCGGAAGAACACCGGUGGCGAAGGCGGCCUGCUGGGCAGUUUGGCUGACACUGAGGCGCGACAGCGUGGGGAGCAAACAGG